AUGAAGCAAAAUAGUCCAGCGGCAUGUGCUUACAAGCUUGAUCUUUCGAAGGCUUAUGACCGAGUGGACUGGGAUUUUCUCGAGAAGGCCCUAGUUAAGUGGGGUUUCUCUGGUGUUUGGAUCAACUGGAUCAUGGCAUGCGUUAAAUCGGUAACAUAUUCGGUGAAGUUCAAUGGGAAAUUACUUGAGGUGUUCUCCCCUUCGAGGGGCUUGGGACAAGGUGAUCCAUUGUCUCCGUUCCUUUUCCUAUUUGUCGCCGAUGCUCUAUAUGCUCUUAUUUCCAAGUCUGUCGCGGAUGGUGACUUGCGGGUGUGA
rnacentral:rRNA from 1 species